UACUAAGGCAGCUCCCACAAGUGG
rnacentral:piRNA from 1 species